GGGAAAAAAGGGGCGGGUUUAGUGGAAGCCACCGGGGGGGAGUUGGUUUUUUUUUUUUUUUACAGUUCUAAAUAUCAAAACUUACCCAGGAAGUGGCAGAAAUCAAAGAGUGCUUUGAACCAAAAAAACAAAAAACAAAAAACCAGUUAAGAGACCUGAGAAGCCCGAGUGAGGAAGUGGGACCUUCUGUGACCCAAGCUUUAACUAUAAGGGUCAAGCACUGGAAAGUUUUCUGAGGCCAGGAUAGAUGACUUUAAAAAAAGAAAAAAAAAACCAAAAAACUCGGAGGAGGGGAGAAUCUCCCUUCAGGUCUCCUAGAUAACAGUUUUUAAACCAUCCCCCAGAGCCUGGAGCCUGCAGGUCCUUUAGCAGUUGUAGGUCAUCUUGGAUAGAACCAGAAUCCAGAGGAUGGAAUGGCGUGAGAAUAAGUGUGUUAACCUGGGACGAGCAACUAACUGCAUUUUCGUAUAAGGAAGCGGAGGCCUGGAGAAUGUAAGUGACCUACCCAAGGCUAUGUUGCCCACGAGGGGCCAGACAGAGCUUCCUUCCACCGGCACUGCUAGUCUCCGUUUCCCCAUUUAACAAACAAUACCUACUUCUCAGGCUCCUUACAAAGUUCAAAUGAGAUGGCAUGUGUGUGAGCCCUAGACCAGGCAACUGCUUCAUUUGACGCAUCAUGUUGGCCCUCAAACCUCUUACGAGUGAGUUGGCAAGGAGUAUUUGUCAGAAUUGUUGUUCUGAUUCCUCGGUCCCCAGCAAGACUGUAUCUGAAUGGGACGGGCCUGGUGAUGGACUGUAGGCUUCCAGGGAGGAACCUGACUGACAAACUGAGGUAGGAGCAGCGUCUCAGGAGGGACUGGCACCGAAGACAAAUUCUUUUCACUGGGGCUGGGCUUAGCUGUGAUGCCUAAUCUGAAUCAACAGACCUAGCCGCCUUCGUGGGCAGAGAUAAGAAGACUUGAAAUCACUUGCACAUCCUUUGUGGAAUGGUGGAAAUGGGGCUGGAUUUGGGGUCAGAGGAGCUGAGUUCAAAUUCCAGAUUGCUCCUUGCUCUAAAGGACCUUGGGCUAAUCACUCAUAAAACGAUGGAGUUGCACUAAAUGACCCUGAAGACUUCUCCAGCUUCAAAUCUAUAAUUCUAUGAACUAGAUCAUUUUGAGGAUCAAGGGAGAUAUUUUAUAUAAAGGAUUGUGUAAUGAGAGACCAAUCAACAUUUAUUAAGUGCCUACUAUGUUCCAGGUACUGUAUUAAUGAAUACUAGCUAUUUUUACCAUCAUCUUUAUGCUGCUAUGGAGACAGAGAAGAAGUUAUCGGGACCAGGUGUCAUACCUCAAGCAGCUUAUAACCUAGCUGGGGAGAUAAAAGUCUCUGGAGCAGAGGUAACCCUGGGUCAGGAGUUAGGAGAGUGGAGGGUGUGGGCAGAAAUCCCAUGCUGUAUAACUAUAGGCUGUCACAGUCUCUCCUCACCUCAGUUUUCUCAUCUGCAGAAUGGGGAUAAUAAUAGAACAUACUUCAAGGUUGCAGUGAAGACCAGAGGAAAGAAAGAGAGAGAUUGUCCAUAAAGUCCUAGGAAAUGCCAGUUAGUAUCAGGCUGUACACUAAGGAAGUGGGUGACUAGACCCUCAUCCUCUGUGUAUUGCUGAGGCAGCUGGUACAUUGGGCAAACAGCCUCUGCUCGAGAGGCUGAGUUUGGGAGGACAAAGAGCUUUCAAGGCUACCCAUCCAGUCUGACCUCCUGAUUUUACAGCUGGGGAAACAGUAUCAGAUAGAAGGGACGUGCCCCAAGGUACAGGCAGAAGAGUCGAAAUUUAAACCCUGGGAGUUGGAUUCUGGAUCUGAUGCUCUUUCUUUAAAAACUUCAACAAACAAGAGAGGUAUCUACAAGUUCUAUGGGUGGCACACAUCUCGAUUGAGUCUUUUAACCUCCGUGUCUUCAGCAAUUCCUUUAGGCUACAUAUUGCAGAUGAGAUGCCCAUUGGUGGCGGUGGAAGGAAUUUUCAUACUGGAAUUCUCCUCCCUUACCUCGCCCCACCCCACCCCCCAUCACCAAUCUAACUGAAAGAACAAAAAACACUUUAUUUGGGCACAUCAGCAUACCUCUGAGUAAGCUGCCUUCCCUAAUCUCUUCCUCGGCCCCCUCCUUCCCUCCCCUAUGCCACAAAGUAACUUCCAAUUAAAAAAAAUUGUUACACAAAGUCAGCUAAUGUCAUGAUUUGGUCUCACAGUACACGCAAUUUUCCAUUUUUGCAAUUCACCAUUUGUUAACAGAAAAGAAGGACGUGUGCUCUGAUUUCAGUAAUUUGGAAUCAGCCUCGUCCAUUGUAUUUCACCUGGGUUUUGUUGCCUUUGAAUGUCUGCUUUACUUACAUUGUUGUAACAAUUGCACAUUUUGUUCUUUUUUGUUGUCUUUUCACUCUGCAGGAGUUCAGACAAGUCUUCACAUGUUGCUCUGAAUUCUGAUUCAUUAUGUCAGUGGUCUCCAAACUUUC